rnacentral:lncRNA from 1 species
ACAGUCCACUAUCUUACUCUUAAUCAUAUGGAUGAAGGAGAGUGUCAGCCUGUUAGGGUCAAGAGUGAAGACUUAGAUAAGCUCUAUUUGUGUAAUGCAAUGGUCAAUAUUAAUAAAAUAAUUUUCUUUAAAGAAUGAUCAAGUGUUGGAUUGGAGGCAACUAUACCCGUUUCAACUUUCCACAAGUAGCAUAAAAGAUCAUCUAAAUCUCUGUUAAAUUGUCAAGUAUUUAUUGAAUGUUUUGGAAUUUAAAAACCGGAUAAACAUGAACCAAUAUGGGUAGCUAGCUUGGAUUCUGUGGGCAUGUUUGUAAUUUGAAAGCAGAAGAAUCUUAUCCUCAUGACUAGGGUCUGAACCUGAAAU